ACGUUUACUUGGCUGAGAGGUACUAUAAUCAUAUAGGUGGGUUCCUGAAGCUAGGCUUAUCGAAUGAAGUCCCAAUGUGUUGACCAUUGUGAUUUCUCAAAUGUAGGAAACUAAAGUGCAUAAUUUAUAGUACUGUCAAGAUAGUUCUUGAUC
rnacentral:snRNA from 1 species